rnacentral:rRNA from 1 species
GACGAACGCUGGCGGCGUGCCUAAUACAUGCAAGUUGAGCGAUGAAGAUUGGUGCUUGCACCAAUUUGAAGAGCAGCGAACGGGUGAGUAACGCGUGGGGAAUCUGCCUUUGAGCGGGGGACAACAUUUGGAAACGAAUGCUAAUACCGCAUAAUAACUUUAAACAUAAGUUUUAAGUUUGAAAGAUGCAAUUGCAUCACUCAAAGAUGAUCCCGCGUUGUAUUAGCUAGUUGGUGAGGUAAAGGCUCACCAAGGCGAUGAUACAUAGCCGACCUGAGAGGGUGAUCGGCCCCAUUGGGACUGAGACACGGCCCAAACUCCUACGGGAGGCAGCAGUAGGGAAUCUUCGGCAAUGGACGAAAGUCUGACCGAGCAACGCCGCGUGAGUGAAGAGGGUUUUCGGAUCGUAAAACUCUGUUGGUAGAGAAGAACGUUGGUGAGAGUGGAAAGCUCAUCAAGUGACGGUAACUACCCAGAAAGGGACGGCUAACUACGUG